UUGCUUUGGCAGCAUAUAAAAUAAAACUGGAAUGAUACAGAGAAGAUUAGUAUGGCCUCUGUGCACAGAUGACACACAAAUUCUUGGAGCCUUCCACAUUUUU